UAUCAAAGAUCCAAAUAAAAUAUUAAUAAUUCCAAUAUUUCACAAUGAAAUAGAAAAACAAAUGUUUGCGUUCAUCUCUUUGAUCACAAAAUGAAUGAUUUUCAUUCAUUUUGAGAAGGGACGAUGGGGUAAUGUAACCGUUUGUAACCUAAAAAUAAUGUGUCUCCGACACUUUUGCAAAACAGACUACAUCCCUGGUAAGGGGUUCUCACUAGCUCUCAUCGAGAGACGUCAAAACAAUCGCCACUCAGGGGUUCGUCCCAUUUUACCUCCCAUCCCUCUCACUACGCGGCUACUCUCUCCCGAGAGAUACCCAUGGGCGCGGAUGAACAGGCUUUUGUUAUCGCGAGGAAGUGUCAUCACCCAAUCAACGUCGCACACGUCAUUUCCAUUUGCCGACGUACUUAUAUAUUGGUGUGACGGUCGGAUGAACUCUAUGUGAUUCAAGGUUGCUUAGAUUCGGCCUAGCAAGUAAAGGCUUCUUUCUGUCCGUGAACGCCUUAGGGCUAUGAAGUGCGCGCCGUGUCCGUAAAGUUAAAAGUUAAAAAGUACAAGUAAGGUCUACAAGUUAAAAGACGUAAAACACGGAAAGUUAAAAGUGGCUAAAAAUAUAAGUUGUAUGUUUGAUAGAAAUACUAAAAACGUCGUAAAAGUUUAUAAUAACAAAAUAAUAACAAGUUACACCGAAUUACGAACGAAAAGCCGUAAAACCACGUGAAAUGUUACAUAGAAGAAACACUGAAACAGAUUAAAAACAAAAUACGAAGAAAAAGGUCCAGAGGACCUUUUUCUUCUUGGUUUAUUCCCUUCAAGCUUUGCAUCGACCUCGACAGGUGGCGGUUGUGGCCAACACAAAUAACCACGCUAAAUACGGACAGAAAAGUAAGACGCAUCGGGUGGACAUAACCUCAAUCCAGUCUACCUAACAACAACCGCACCAACUCGGACCUGUAUCAGCUAUUGUUGAUUCGACACCGUUUCGGGACGCCGAAAUCGGUGAGAAUCUACCAGAACAAUCAACCGGGUCGAUAAGGAAAGCUUCAAAGAUCGCAACGCAAACAACUAACCAGAAACCUACACCUGUAAAACCGCAAGUAUAAGAGCAAACGUGAUGUUGAGUUUAGGGUUAUUGUCGCCAAUAAAUAACCCCGCAGUACUUUGUAAACCCAA